UGAACCAGAAAGCUCCUGCCUCACUGUCAAGCCUUAGUACUUUCCUCACGUCAACACAAAAUGCUUCAUGCUUUUUCUUUUCAUGAGUAAAAAGCUUCAUGCUAUGCAACACUUCUCCAGAAAAUGUGACUCAAGACAAUAAUUUCACUGUCAUGCAAUACCAAAAAUGGAGAGGAAUUGAUCAAAUAUUGAAAUAUGGGCGUCAAGAUUUCACAUGUCUCCCUUUCCUGUUAUUACGUAGAACAUUGAACCAAGAAUCAUACAGGUGAUAAUCAAAUACUU
rnacentral:lncRNA from 1 species